GACGAACGCUGGCGGCGCGCCUAACACAUGCAAGUCGAACGGAGAUAAGGAGGAGCUUGCUCCACCUUAUCUGAGUGGCGGACGGGUGAGUAACGCGUGAGCAACCUGCCUUAAAGAGGGGGAUAACGUCUGGAAACGGACGCUAAUACCGCAUAACAUAUUGUUUUCGCAUGGAGAUGAUAUCAAAGGAGCAAUCCGCUUUAAGAUGGACUCGCGUCCAAUUAGCUAGUUGGUGAGGUAACGGCCCACCAAGGCGACGAUGCAUAGCCGAGUUGAGAGACUGAUCGGCCACACUGGGACUGAGACACGGCCCAA
rnacentral:rRNA from 1 species